UAGGGAAUCUUCGGCAAUGGGGGGAACCCUGACCGAGCAACGCCGCGUGAGUGAAGAAGGAUUUCGGUUCGUAAAACUCUGUUGUUAGAGAAGAACAGCGCAUAGAGUAACUGUUAUGCGUGUGACGGUAUCUAACCAGAAAGCCACGGCUAACUACGUGCCAGCAGCCGCGGUAAUACGUAGGUGGCAAGCGUUGUCCGGAUUUAUUGGGCGUAAAGCGAGCGCAGGCGGUCAAUUAAGUCUGAUGUGAAAGCCCCCGGCUCAACCGGGGAGGGUCAUUGGAAACUGGUUGACUUGAGUGCAGAAGAGGAGAGUGGAAUUCCAUGUGUAGCGGUGAAAUGCGUAGAUAUAUGGAGGAACACCAGUGGCGAAGGCGACUCUCUGGUCUGUAACUGACGCUGAGGCUCGAAAGCGUGGGUAGCGAACAGG
rnacentral:rRNA from 1 species